GCGCCGCUAGCUCAACUGGCAGAGCAGCUGACUCUUAAUCAGCGGGUUCGGGGUUCAAGUCCCUGGCGGCGCACCU
rnacentral:tRNA from 1 species